rnacentral:rRNA from 1 species
GGUUAAGCGACUAAGCGUACACGGUGGAUGCCCUGGCAGUCAGAGGCGAUGAAGGACGUGCUAAUCUGCGAUAAGCGUCGGUAAGGUGAUAUGAACCGUUAUAACCGGCGAUUUCCGAAUGGGGAAACCCAGUGUGAUUCGUCACACUAUCAUUAACUGAAUCCAUAGGUUAAUGAGGCGAACCGGGGGAACUGAAACAUCUAAGUACCCCGAGGAAAAGAAAUCAACCGAGAUUCCCCCAGUAGCGGCGAGCGAACGGGGAGCAGCCCAGAGCCUGAAUCAGUGUGUGUGUUAGUGGAAGCGUCUGGAAAGGCGCGCGAUACAGGGUGACAGCCCCGUACACAAAAAUGCACAUGCUGUGAGCUCGAUGAGUAGGGCGGGACACGUGGUAUCCUGUCUGAAUAUGGGGGGACCAUCCUCCAAGGCUAAAUACUCCUGACUGACCGAUAGUGAACCAGUACCGUGAGGGAAAGGCGAAAAGAACCCCGGCGAGGGGAGUGAAAAAGAACCUGAAACCGUGUACGUACAAGCAGUGGGAGCCUCUUUAUGGGGUGACUGCGUACCUUUUGUAUAAUGGGUCAGCGACUUAUAUUCUGUAGCAAGGUUAACCGAAUAGGGGAGCCGAAGGGAAACCGAGUCUUAACUGGGCGUUAAGUUGCAGGGUAUAGACCCGAAACCCGGUGAUCUAGCCAUGGGCAGGUUGAAGGUUGGGUAACACUAACUGGAGGACCGAACCGACUAAUGUUGAAAAAUUAGCGGAUGACUUGUGGCUGGGGGUGAAAGGCCAAUCAAACCGGGAGAUAGCUGGUUCUCCCCGAAAGCUAUUUAGGUAGCGCCUCGUGAAUUCAUCUCCGGGGGUAGAGCACUGUUUCGGCAAGGGGGUCAUCCCGACUUACCAACCCGAUGCAAACUGCGAAUACCGGAGAAUGUUAUCACGGGAGACACACGGCGGGUGCUAACGUCCGUCGUGAAGAGGGAAACAACCCAGACCGCCAGCUAAGGUCCCAAAGUCAUGGUUAAGUGGGAAACGAUGUGGGAAGGCCCAGACAGCCAGGAUGUUGGCUUAGAAGCAGCCAUCAUUUAAAGAAAGCGUAAUAGCUCACUGGUCGAGUCGGCCUGCGCGGAAGAUGUAACGGGGCUAAACCAUGCACCGAAGCUGCGGCAGCGACGCUUAUGCGUUGUUGGGUAGGGGAGCGUUCUGUAAGCCUGCGAAGGUGUACUGUGAGGUAUGCUGGAGGUAUCAGAAGUGCGAAUGCUGACAUAAGUAACGAUAAAGCGGGUGAAAAGCCCGCUCGCCGGAAGACCAAGGGUUCCUGUCCAACGUUAAUCGGGGCAGGGUGAGUCGACCCCUAAGGCGAGGCCGAAAGGCGUAGUCGAUGGGAAACAGGUUAAUAUUCCUGUACUUGGUGUUACUGCGAAGGGGGGACGGAGAAGGCUAUGUUGGCCGGGCGACGGUUGUCCCGGUUUAAGCGUGUAGGCUGGUUUUCCAGGCAAAUCCGGAAAAUCAAGGCUGAGGCGUGAUGACGAGGCACUACGGUGCUGAAGCAACAAAUGCCCUGCUUCCAGGAAAAGCCUCUAAGCAUCAGGUAACAUCAAAUCGUACCCCAAACCGACACAGGUGGUCAGGUAGAGAAUACCAAGGCGCUUGAGAGAACUCGGGUGAAGGAACUAGGCAAAAUGGUGCCGUAACUUCGGGAGAAGGCACGCUGAUAUGUAGGUGAAGUCCCUCGCGGAUGGAGCUGAAAUCAGUCGAAGAUACCAGCUGGCUGCAACUGUUUAUUAAAAACACAGCACUGUGCAAACACGAAAGUGGACGUAUACGGUGUGACGCCUGCCCGGUGCCGGAAGGUUAAUUGAUGGGGUUAGCGGUAACGCGAAGCUCUUGAUCGAAGCCCCGGUAAACGGCGGCCGUAACUAUAACGGUCCUAAGGUAGCGAAAUUCCUUGUCGGGUAAGUUCCGACCUGCACGAAUGGCGUAAUGAUGGCCAGGCUGUCUCCACCCGAGACUCAGUGAAAUUGAACUCGCUGUGAAGAUGCAGUGUACCCGCGGCAAGACGGAAAGACCCCGUGAACCUUUACUAUAGCUUGACACUGAACAUUGAGCCUUGAUGUGUAGGAUAGGUGGGAGGCUUUGAAGUGUGGACGCCAGUCUGCAUGGAGCCGACCUUGAAAUACCACCCUUUAAUGUUUGAUGUUCUAACGUUGGCCCCUAAUCGGGGUUGCGGACAGUGUCUGGUGGGUAGUUUGACUGGGGCGGUCUCCUCCUAAAGAGUAACGGAGGAGCACGAAGGUUGGCUAAUCCUGGUCGGACAUCAGGAGGUUAGUGCAAUGGCAUAAGCCAGCUUGACUGCGAGCGUGACGGCGCGAGCAGGUGCGAAAGCAGGUCAUAGUGAUCCGGUGGUUCUGAAUGGAAGGGCCAUCGCUCAACGGAUAAAAGGUACUCCGGGGAUAACAGGCUGAUACCGCCCAAGAGUUCAUAUCGACGGCGGUGUUUGGCACCUCGAUGUCGGCUCAUCACAUCCUGGGGCUGAAGUAGGUCCCAAGGGUAUGGCUGUUCGCCAUUUAAAGUGGUACGCGAGCUGGGUUUAGAACGUCGUGAGACAGUUCGGUCCCUAUCUGCCGUGGGCGCUGGAGAACUGAGGGGGGCUGCUCCUAGUACGAGAGGACCGGAGUGGACGCAUCACUGGUGUUCGGGUUGUCAUGCCAAUGGCACUGCCCGGUAGCUAAAUGCGGAAGAGAUAAGUGCUGAAAGCAUCUAAGCACGAAACUUGCCCCGAGAUGAGUUCUCCCUGACUCCCUGAGAGUCCUGAAGGAACGUUGAAGACGACGACGUUGAUAGGCCGGGUGUGUAAGCGCAGCGAUGCGUUGAGCUAACCGGUACUAAUGAACCGUGAGGCUUAACCUU